rnacentral:rRNA from 1 species
GACAGAGGGUGCAAACGUUGUUCGGAAUUACUGGGCGUAAAGCGUGCGCAGGCGGUGAUGUAAGACCGAUGUGAAAUCCCCGGGCUUAACCUGGGAACUGCAUUGGUGACUGCAUCGCUCGAGUAUGGCAGAGGGGGGUAGAAUUCCACGUGUAGCAGUGAAAUGCGUAGAGAUGUGGAGGAAUACCGAUGGCGAAGGCAGCCCCCUGGGUCAAUACUGACGCUCAUGCACGAAAGCGUGGGGAGCAAACAGG